rnacentral:rRNA from 1 species
AACGCUAGCUACAGGCUUAACACAUGCAAGUCGAGGGGAAACGAUAUUGGAAGCUUGCUUCCGAUAGGCGUCGACCGGCGCACGGGUGAGUAACGCGUAUCCAACCUGCCCACCACUUGGGGAUAACCUUGCGAAAGUAAGACUAAUACCCAAUGAUAUCUCUAGAAGACAUCUGAAAGAGAUUAAAGAUUUAUCGGUGAUGGAUGGGGAUGCGUCUGAUUAGCUUGUUGGCGGGGUAACGGCCCACCAAGGCAACGAUCAGUAGGGGUUCUGAGAGGAAGGUCCCCCACAUUGGAACUGAGACACGGUCCAAACUCCUACGGGAGGCAGCAGUGAGGAAUAUUGGUCAAUGGGCGAGAGCCUGAACCAGCCAAGUAGCGUGCAGGAAGACGGCCCUAUGGGUUGUAAACUGCUUUUAUAAGGGAAUAAAGUGAGUCUCGUGAGACUUUUUGCAUGUACCUUAUGAAUAAGGACCGGCUAAUUCCGUGCCAGCAGCCGCGGUAAUACGGAAGGUCCGGGCGUUAUCCGGAUUUAUUGGGUUUAAAGGGAGCGUAGGCCGGAGAUUAAGCGUGUUGUGAAAUGUAGACGCUCAACGUCUGCACUGCAGCGCGAACUGGUUUCCUUGAGUACGCACAAAGUGGGCGGAAUUCGUGGUGUAGCGGUGAAAUGCUUAGAUAUCACGAAGAACUCCGAUUG